UACGUAGGGGGCUAGCGUUGUUCGGAAUUACUGGGCGUAAAGCGCACGCAGGUGGCUGAGUCAGUCGAUUGUGAAAGCCCUGGGCUUAACCUGGGAAUUGCAGUCGAUACUACUCAGCUAGAGUAUGGGAGAGGGUAGUGGAAUUCCCGGUGUAGCGGUGAAAUGCGUAGAUAUCGGGAGGAACAUCAGUGGCGAAGGCGGCUACCUGGCCCAAUACUGACACUCAGGUGCGACAGCGUGGGGAGCAAACAGG
rnacentral:rRNA from 1 species